AGUUGUGGGAAGGAGCAAAUGACUGAGUUGACUCGCAGCAAAGUAGUUGAUCAGGCGUUUAGUGAGUGACCUUGUCUAUAAGGGAAACAAAUGUGUGGCAGCUUGAGACUUUAGCGAUCCCUAGUGCUCAUGUUUAAGCCACCAGUAACUUGACCUGAUGCACAGACUCGCCAUGUGUAUGACAAUGAUGAGCCUGUUCGGCUGCAUGCUGAUGGCUUGGUUGGCCAGGAGGACAGGCUGGGUGAAAGAGCAAGAAGACGAAGAAGGCACAAACGCUGGCACUGUGAUUUCCUCCCACCUUCCAGUACUCAGUGUUCCAGCCCUUCGUUCCCUCUCUUACUCAACACCUCUGAGUCUUCUCGCCUCUCUCCAUCCCUUGGCCCCCCUGCAAGGUCAUUCCCAAGGACGCUCCCAGCAUCCCCCUGUCUGAUUGGCCGAUGGGCAUUAAAGGGCCGGUUCCCCUGUGGUGCACAUGGCUCCACUUCAGCUCUGCCACAAAGCUGUCACCGUUCCCAUCACUCCUUAGGCUGAUUACUGUACUCCCUUCACACACCUACAAAUGACUCACAUGCAGUUAUCAGUUCAUCCAGCACUCCAGGGAACACAGGAAGCUGACAUUAUUUCUUACAUGCUCACAAUCUAGUUUCCAAAAUCAGGUUGGGAUUGCUUCCUCUCACCACACGACAGGUUACCUUUCACGAUGACUAAAUAUGCUGGGCUGCAAAUAUGUCCCAGUGUGCAGGGCCAGAAAAGAAACACUUGACCCAUACUGACAAUAAAACUAGCAUUGUGUGAAGUGAGCAGAUAUUUCCUCAGAAUAAGUGGCACACUAUAAGCCACUGAACACACAAAGCACAGAGACAGUCAGCAAAAUGGCCACAACACAGAACAGAUUGAGUAAAAUGUGUCGUCUGGACUGAAACAUGAUUUCAGGGUGGCUGGUAAAAUAUAAUAAGAGAAAAGUGAUGAAAGGAUCCGGGAUAAAAAAGCCGAGGCACCUUUUAAUAGGUUUUCUAGACUGCCCAUGCUUAGUGAAAAGCCUUUCUGCUAAUCUGCUAAGUUAUAAUAACAUCCAAAAGCCAUUUUCUCUUCAUCCUGAGGACCUCAUUUACAAAGCAAUGUAACGCUGGGGUAUUUGAUGAAAACCACUUUAAGCAUUUUGUCGCAACACAGAAAUAAAUUAAAGAAAAACUCAUUCAGACACGUGGAAAUGUUGGCCUCCAUAACUGCUGGCAUAAAAGGUUAGAAAUAAGAAACAAUUCAUUUAUGUUUUUGCAGUUGCAUAAUCUAUUUUUUCUCAAUAUUUCAGUUUCCACCAUUUUAUUAGAUCAUUAUCUUACUGGUGCUGUGAUGGACAAGCCACCUGUCUAGGAUAAACCCCAACCAAAUAUCUCCCCGAAUGAUGACCUGUUUAUUCUUAUUUAAAUAAACCAGACCAACAUAUCUUUAUUUGAAAUGUCUAGACUCUGUUUUUAUAUUUGAAAUAAACAGAGAGGUGCAGACCUAUGGAAAUAUACAUUCUCCUCUGUACAUCAUUUGCAGAGAUUUCCUACAUAUUCCUUCUUUACACCAAAAACAAAACUACUUACUAAAUCAAACUAUUUAAGAUAUUUAGUUAUUAUAUUAAGUUAUGUUUUUUUCCAUGCAACUUUUGCCUCUAUCAGAGUUUUUCACUGGCGUUCUCAGAAAAAAUUGAUGUCAGUUUUUCUGUAUUCUUUCA